CAAUAGCGUAUACUAAUGUUGUUGCAGUUAAAAAGCUCGUAGUUGAACUUCUGGUAGGAGUGUCCCGGCCUUUUUGUUUUUACAAAUUGUAUGCUGUGUGACAUCUCUGGCCAUCCUUCUUCUUUGUUUAAAGAAGAUCUUUCACUGUAAAAAAAUUAGGGUGUUCAAAGCAAAAGUUUCUUUGGAAUAUAUUAGUAUGGGAUGAUAAGAUAGGCUCUAGAUGCUAUUUUGUUGGUUUGCACAUUUAGAGAAUGAUUAACAGGGACAGUUGGGGGUAUUCGUAUUUACAUGUCAGAGGUGAAAUUCUUGGAUUUUGGAAAGACGAACUACCGCGAAAGCAUUUACCAAGGAUGUUUUCAUUAA
rnacentral:rRNA from 1 species